UAGAGAAAGAGAAUGAGGAAAUCAAAAAGGAAGUAGAGGACACAGAAACUGGAGAAAGUAUUGAGGAAAAGAGUCACUUAGAAAAUGAAGAGAGCAAAGAAACUGGAGAAAUUAGUGAGGAAAAGAGUCAUUUAGAAAAUGAAGAAAGCAAAGAAACUGGAGAAAGUAGUGAGGAAAAGAGUCAUUUAGAAAAUGAAGAGAGCAAAGAAACUGGAGAAAGUAGUGAGGAAAAGAGUCAUCUAGAGAAUGAAGAGAACAAAGAUGAAGAAAAGAGUAAGCAAGAAAAUGAAGAGAUUAAAGAUGGAGAAAAGAUUCAGCAAGAGAAUGAAGAGAACAAAGAUGAAGAAAAGAGUCAGCAAGAGAAUGAAGAGAACAAAGAUGAAGAAAAGAGUCAGCAAGAGAAUGAAUUGAAGAAAAAUGAAGGGGGAGAGAAAGAAAC
rnacentral:lncRNA from 1 species